rnacentral:lncRNA from 1 species
CCCUUGGCAGGUCUCGGCGACACAUAGUGUAUCCGAGCCGCAAACUGGCAGGAUUCAGGAGACCGUAGUCAGCCUGAUCCGCAAUCCUGGCAGGUAUCAGGAGACCGUAGUCAGCAUGAUCCGCAAUCCUGGCACUCACGGUCCGGGCGUCCCCAAAACUCAUGAGGCAAAUGUCAAGUGCACUGACUGAACUGUAAGUAAACUGGAUGUCUAUAGACAUCAUCAUAUCCGAAGGCAACAUAAACCGAAGGCAACAUAAACCGAAGGCAACCUGGAUGUCCGUAGACAUCGUCUUAUUUGACGGCAAUCCGUUUCUGUAACUGGGUACCCACAGUGGUUUAAGAAAAUAUAAACUGCUGAGAAAAUGUGAUAUAAAAAUAUGAUAAUAUUUCUGAAAGAUCUGAGGAAUAACUGAAUCUGUAAUCAAUCUAUAACUGUGCUGCCCUUUUUAUCUGAUAGAAAACUCAAACUCUGCUUUCUAUAAUUCAUGGUGGUCUAAAAAUAAUUAUCUGAUAAUUCUCUGAAAUCUGAUAAUUUAACUAUAGUCGUAAUGCUACUGCUAUUUUGUUAUAUAAAGCUCAAGGUCUGCUGCUAAUAUAACCUCAAUAAUAUAUGUAACUC